GCGGGGUAGAGGAAUUGGUCGACUCAUCAGGCU
rnacentral:sRNA from 1 species